CCCUCUUAGCACUGCAUGCCGUAGCUUUCGCUCGUUCAGACCGUUGCGUCCGCGGCCUUAGCGCAUUCCGGAUUAAUUACAAUUACGCCGGUCCGGGCCUGGCUUGCGCCAGACAUGUUGUAAUAAUGAGGGCGGCUUUGGCCGGCCGACGCGCGAUUGUGGCCCUUGGGCGCCCCGACGCAAGAAACCGUCGGAUUUUCCGCUCUUUAAUUAUUCAAAGCAGUAAUAAUGUUGGUAUGAAUAAUAAGCCAGGCGUAUAUGGCCGUGAGGUUGGCAAUACAUAAUAAAUGCGGCGGGUGUUUAAUUAUUAGCAGGGAAACUGGCGAAUUCCGUGCGCCGCAACGGUCUGACCUUUCUCUCUUCUUUUCCCUUUUCGCCCUUCUCGGAAAGCGCCAGCUUUUUCCACGUCGUCGUAAGCUCGCACCGACACAGACGUCUUUAUUGUUGCGCCGGCCUUCUUUUGUUUUCGGGGUUUUGCUUUUUAUUAUUUCGCUUGAUUAAAUGCGGCAUGGCCGACUUUCGGGCUUUAUUGGGGAAGACGUUUUUUUAUUUACACAUGCACGGAGGGUCAUAGAAGAGGAAUUCAAAGGAUGCUGAGAAUGGGAAGGGCGAUGGGUCAGGGUUAAUGAGGGACGAAAGGGAACUGGUUGAAGAAUUAAAAUGGAACGAAUAGUUCGUGUUUGUAUGUACAUUAAAUUUUUGAAACGACGCCGCCUGGUCACACCCUGACGCGCUACACAAAACUAAGCUGUUAAUCGGUACCUGAAGGUCAUUUACGUAGAAAUAUUUUCCUGAUUAAAAUAUUUGUACAAUAAAUACAAGUAAAUAGAUUUA